AGUCCGUGAUGUGAGCAUCUCCUAAGAAAUUAUUUGAAUCUUUCCCAUGCUUCAUAUAAUGAUUCAUUAUCCAUUUACAUAAAAUUAGUAAUAUCAUUUUCGUAGACU